CUGUGUUUUGAAUGUUUGAUGUGCUUCACUGAUCCUAGACCAGUUUAAGAAGAACCAGCGGGAAACAUCUGUGCAGAGUCUCUGACAGUGAGAUUAAUCAUAAUGAUGAUGAUGUUGCUGACUCCCCUGCUGACCACAAUCAUGCUCAGACUUCAAGGAUCAGAUGCCAGUUCAUCUGUGACUCAGUCUCCUGUAUUUAAGGCUGCUGCUUUGGGACAGACGGUCUCUCUGAGCUGUACAGCCAGUCAAGGAGUUGAUGAUGAUCUCAGCUGGUAUCUACAGAAACCUGGACAGCCUCCCAAACUGCUGUUUUACCAAAUCAGCAGCCGUGAAUCUGAUACUCCGAGUCAUUUCAGCAGCAGUGGAUCUGAGCCUGAGUUCACUCUGACAAUCAAUGGAGUUCAGGCUGAUGAUGCAGGCGAUUACUACUGUAUGGGAGUGUAUGGUGGCCCAGUGUUCACACAGUGAUACAGAGUCGUACAAAAACCUCCUUCAGUUACUGUUUGCAGUGUUGCAGCUGUGAGCUUCUGAUACAGACUCUGACAUGCAUCACUGGUUCACUGAGUCCACUUUUCACUAAUAGGUCACAUUAUUAAGAAGAUGAUGUGACACUGUUUAGAAUUUGUAGCAUACUAUGCUUAUCUCACU